rnacentral:tRNA from 1 species
CCAAUAGUCGCCUAACAGGUUAAGGCAUGGCGCGUACAGCCAUAUUAAGGUUCGAGUCCUUACUAUUGGU